rnacentral:rRNA from 1 species
GACGAACGCUGGCGGCGUGCCUAACACAUGCAAGUCGAACGAGGCCGGACCUUCGGGUCCAAUGGUCGAGUGGCGAACGGGUGAGUAACACGUGAGAAACCUACCCCGGAGACCGGGACAACCAGGGGAAACCCUGGCUAAUACCGGAUGUCCUCAGAUGGUCGCAUGACCGACUGAGGAAAUGCUCUGGCGCUCUGGGAGGGUCUCGCGGCCUAUCAGCUAGUUGGUGGGGUAACGGCCUACCAAGGCAUCGACGGGUAGCUGGUCUGAGAGGACGAUCAGCCACACUGGGACUGAGACACGGCCCAGACUCCUACGGGAGGCUG